GAGUUUGAUCAUGGCUCAGGAUGAACGCUAGCGGCAGGCCUAAUACAUGCAAGUCGAACGGUAAGUUUUGUAGCAAUACGGAACCAAGAGUGACGUACGGGUGCGUAACACGUAUGCAACCUACCCUUUACAGGAGGAUAGCUCGGGGAAACCCGGAUUAACCCUCCAUAAUAUGAUUGAAUGGCAUCAUUUGAUCAUUAAAACCCAGGUGGUAAAGGAUGGGCAUGCGUCUGAUUAGUUAGUUGGUGAGGUAACGGCCCACCAAGACGAUGAUCAGUAGGGGAACUGAGAGGUUGAUCCCCCACACUGGCACUGAGAUACGGGCCAGACUCCUACGGGAGGCAGCAGUAGGGAAUAUUGGACAAUGGGUGCAAGCCUGAUCCAGCCAUGCCGCGUGCAGGAAGAAGGCCUUCUGGGGUUGUAAACUGCUUUUGUCAGGGGAUAAAAGCCAUGCGUGGGAAAUUGCAGGUACCUGAUGAAUAAGCCACGGCU
rnacentral:rRNA from 1 species